UCGUCAUAUGCCGGACUAUACAGGUACCCAGCUACUCCGCGUAAGUACUCGCCUAAUAAAUAUUUUUAAAAACGUUUAUUUUUUGUCGGGAAAAAUUACGAGAGUUGUGUUCAAGAACACUUGAAGAUCGAACACGAUUUAAGAAUCCGAUUGCUCGCGAAAAGUACAACAUCGAAGAACGUUGGAAAAUUGAAGCAAAAUGUAAAAAUCAAGACCAACUUAGUCACUGAACAACGAGAAAACGGUAGGCCUACUGCAAUCCUGGGAAAUCAAUCAUUGAAGGUUCUUAAAGGAAAAACAGUAAAAUCGAUCGAGAUCCACGUACAACGUAUGAAUCGUUUGAAAAACAAAGAAGUUUAAGGAAAGAGUUACCUAUAGGUACGUUGUUUAAUCGUUUGUUUUAAAAUGUUAUUAUCUGUGAUAUCACCUUAGAGUAUAAGUAUUGUAUAUCUAAUGAUUAAUUAUUUUUGUAAUUUGUAAUUUAAUUUUAUUUAUAUGUAUUUCCAAGCUUUGACAUAUUAAUUCAAAUUGUCAUUAUUUUCUUUUGUGAUAGGUAUGUUUUUCAUUUAUAAAUUUUAAAAUCGGUAAUAUAGACUAUUGUACCUGUUGUG